GGAGCCGCCUCCCCACGGCCGCCGCAACUUUCCCUCCUCCCCGGAGACCCCCUCUGCAGGUGUCCCCCAACGGCGAGCCAACUCCGGAGGCAGGUUCAGCCUCCCCCCUGCCUCCGUGCCUACCCGCGGCUGGAGACAAAGGGGAGGCCGGCUCUCGCGCACCACUUUUCGGGCGGGCUUCGCUUCUUCGCCAGGGAUGGAUGCCCGCCUCUGCGAACUCGGCCACCGGGCCGCCAUCGGGAUGGUCCUGAGACCCGGGCGGAGACUUUCUGCUUCUUAGAAGGUCGGGGAGUCCGGACCUCGACGCCGCCUACGGAGAUGAGAUAAAGAGACGCUUGUUUAACGGUGCAGAUUAAUGACCCCCCCCCAUCCCGGAGGCGGGGAUGUGGAGAGCCGCCCCAAAUGGGAGAAAGUGGGUCCUGCAGGUGCCGGUUGGGUUUUCCAGCCGUCCUGCGGACUCGGGAUGACAUCACCUGGCUCCCAGUCUCCUCCCGAGCUGCUCUUAAAGGCGUUAAGACUCUCCAGGUCAGACAAACGCGUCCCUUCGCUGUUCGUACACAAAGAAGCGGCGGCCUGGAAGAACCGAUCAGCUGGGGUUCUGUCUCAGUCAAACUGAGUUUCACUCAGCCUAGCCUUACGCGUGCCAGCUUGGAUGAGAAUUUAAUACCUACUUUCGAAUCUGAAAGUAAGGUUGAUGGUAGGAGCAUUGCAAUAGAUCCUCUUCGCUUUGAAGUGGAAAUUAAAGAUGUAACACCGAGCCCCACCUGGAUCUUUUAUGCGCAACCUGGAGCCUGUAAACAGAGGGCCCCUUUCCUUCCAUCUCUGGGAAAAUCGUCAGGGAACCCGCCAGGCCUUCCUCCUCCCAAGCGAUCUACACCUCCGGAGUGCUGAGAUUACAGGCAUGAACCGCCACACCCAGUUUUAUAUAGUUCUAGGGAUGGAACCCAGGGCUUCAUGCGCGCUAGGCACGUCAUCUUCCAGCUCAGCUUCAUCCCGGGCUCUCUCUUAGCGUGUGUUUACAUCAAAGGUCCGUGUCUACUGGAAAUGACUCACUGGUCUCAGCAGCCUACCUGAAAGACUACAACCGUGGGCAUCUUCACGUCGUUAAAGUAGCUGAAUUCAACACUGCAAGUUCACCGGAAACUCCCCUCUGAACCAGUACCCUUUACCCUCACCUAAAACGGUUUGCAUUCCUGAGUCUCAAGCCCCUAAACAAGCCCCAGUUUGGGUCUGCUAUAUGGGGGCUUUGUAGAUGACUGUGAGGCUGCAUCUAGCUCUACCAUGAAAGGGGACUACAUGGCUGCUGACUCUGUGCUGAGCGCUCACAAGAAGGUGCUGUCAACAUUACAAUCAAGUAUUUAUCAACCCUAAUGAUAAUGGGGGGAUAGUAACAUUAUAAGUGGCUGGCGAUAGAGAGAAGUGAUUUUAUGUCAAUACAAAGUAUUAAAAAGUAUCUGCCGAGGCAAACAGCAGUUCAUUCACCUGCCCAGGGUGAAACAGGUACUUGCUUCCCCUCCUUUGUUAACUAUGUUACCAGCACUGGCAAAAGCAAAUUGGUUUGGCUCUUCCUGCUCGGUGUUGAUGGCCUUUCUCUGCCUACCUUAAGGAACAAUCCACCUCAAUGUUUUUCAGCACUUUGGAAGUACUCUCUAAGCCAGGGAUGAAAAUAGCUGGCCAGGAAAAAAAAAAAAUCACUGCUCCCCUUUGUCCAGAAGUCCAGUCACACCCUACAAAAGCCCAAACUUCUUAUCUUGUUCUGGACUGGUUUCCUGCCACCCUGGAAACGCACAGGAAUAAACCGUGGCUAAUUGCUCCCCUGACCGGCA
rnacentral:lncRNA from 1 species